GAAAGGCCCUCUUGGUAAUUGUGUAUUCAGUGGUGAUUAUGAUGGAAAGGCCCUCGAUGAUACGCUUCAUGCAUUUUGCAAGUCAUGAUUGCUGUUCUGGAUAUUUUUGUUCCUAGCUACACCGGCAUUCAAUUGUUGUGUCUGAUAUGUGAUUCUGUUUUGAAGGUCUUGCCAGUAUUUUUAAGUUUGGUCAUUUAAGCUAGCAAAGAUGGUUACUGAGUUGUAAUUUGCUAGUUAUGCAUUGGUCAAUAAAGUUAUCUAUUUUCUUCUUUAUGUAACGUUCGAUAUAUUUUCUUCAUUUGAUUACAUAUUUUUGUCCAUUGC
rnacentral:misc_RNA from 1 species